rnacentral:rRNA from 1 species
GAUGAACGCUGGCGGCGUGCCUAAUACAUGCAUGUCGAGCGAACAGACGAGGAGCUUGCUCCUCUGACGUUAGCGGCGGACGGGUGAGUAACACGUGGAUAACCUACCUAUAAGACUGGGAUAACUUCGGGAAACCGGAGCUAAUACCGGAUAAUAUAUUGAACCACAUGGUUCAAUAGUGAAAGACGGUUUUGCUGUCACUUAUAGAUGGAUCCGCGCCGCAUUAGCUAGUUGGUAAGGUAACGGCUUACCAAGGCAACGAUGCGUAGCCGACCUGGGAGGGUGAUCGGCCACACUGGAACUGAGACACGGUCCAGACUCCUACGGGAGGCAGCAGUAGGGAAUCUUCCGCAAUGGGCGAAAGCCUGACGGAGCAACGCCGCGUGAGUGAUGAAGGUCUUCGGAUCGUAAAACUCUGUUAUUAGGGAAGAACAAAUGUGUAAGUAACUAUGCACGUCUUGACGGUACCUAAUCAGAAAGCCACGGCUAACUACGUGCCAGCCGCCGCAGUAA